AAGACUGUUUUUUUAUUUUAAUAAUUCAUCAACAGUAAACCAUUUUACAAAAUGUAAUAAAUUAAACUACAACACUUAUUACCUAGGUACUUGUUACAGGAUUAAUUACGCUUUAGACGGGAUCUGGAGAAUCCUAACUUUUAUUCAUUUGGUUAAAAUAUUUAAAAAUGACUUUGUUCUAAACUUUUCUUUCAAAAGUUUAUAAGUACGAGACUGCUGACUGAGACACCCACCAUAAUUACGAUUGCCUUCGACUCUUAAUGGAAUCCGUCAAUAUUUUUCAAUGAAUCACUAUCAAUAUUAUCACCAUUUUAAUUCUUUGUUAUUGUUUACAAUAUGCAUGGAGAAGAUUUCACGGCAAUUGAAUUGUUCAACCGGUUUACUAAAGCGGACGCCAGUGGCGCCGCGUGUCGAAUUAUUACGAUUUGGCCCGUAUUUGUAUUUUCUACCAGGCACUCUAUGGUUUGCUUAUUAGUGAUCUAUGGGUUUUGGUUGGGCCCAUAGCGGCUAAACCCAUUAAGUAACGAGGGAAGUUCCUUAAUCUCCGGUCUUGCGCCCAGACGUCUUUUGGACUACUACUUAAGCAGUUCCGCGACGCAUCUGGAGGGUCUUUCCAGCUCCUGCGUCUAUCAAAGGUGAACCGUGCUGUCCGUGCUGUGACGGAGAGAGAUUAAUGGUUGAGAAUUGGGGAAUAAAGCGCCUGUACCAGGACGCCAUACCGAUGACACGUCGGAUUUCGGUGGGGUUCUUUGGAGUCGGAAUGUUCAAUACGGCUGUCACCUUAUCCGGGUCGACAUGAAGUCCAUCUUUAUCGACAACAUAUCCUAAAUACUUAAGUUCGGAUCGACAAAAUUUACACUUAUCCUGAGAGAGUGUUAUACCGGCUCUAUGAAAUCUCUGGAAAAUCUCUUCCAAAACCUCUAAAUGUUGCUGAAAAGUCUCAGAAAUACAAAUCACGUCAUCUAAAUAAACAAAGGCAUGUGGCUCCAAAUCAGCUUCCAAUAAGGUAUCUACCAAUCGCUGUCAAGUUGCAGGGGCAUUCGUCAACCUAAAUGGCAUUCUCUUAAAUCGAUAAAGUCCCCGACCAGGGAAAGAAAAACUAGUUUUAUCACGUGAAUUUUCAUCAACCUCGAUCUGCCAAUAUGCAGAGUUAACAUCUAACGAAUACUACUAAGGCAGGGAAAGACCAGGCAGAUUGUGAUGGUUCGAUUAUGUCGAGUUGCAGCAUGUUAUCGAUGUGGAGGUAAGAAGAACGAAGAACUAACACUGAUUUAUAUAAGUUGGAGCUCAAAUAAGAAUUUAAUUUAUAUUUAUUAAUACUAUGUAAUAAUUCUAAACAAUUUACUUUAAAUAACAAUUGGGACCAAUGGAUUAAAAGAAUAUAUUUGUAAA